UCUCGGCCAGGCUGGCCACAGGGAGAGUGGGGUGUCCUCACUCCGGCGGGCUCAUCCCUCCAGGAUGGACUCUCCCACCCCAGGGUCAGGGGGCCGGCUGGAGGACCAGUGCAACUGAAUUCAGAGUUCCAAACACAGCUCACGACUGAAUUACAGUGGGACCUCAGAGGGGACACAGCAAGAGCGCAGCCAUCUGACACCAGGAGAAGGGCUCUCACUAAGAACCUGACCAUGCUCCCACCCUGAUCGCAGAUGUCCAGCCUCCAGAUAUACAACAAAUACAUGUUUUUGUUUAACCACCCAGUCCGUGGUAUUUUGGUUAUAGCAGCCCAAGCUGACCAAGACUCCUGGACAGGACGAAGAAGAACAAGUAACAAAAAGAAAAAAAAUAGAAAAACUAUUAAAGUCAAACCAAGGAAACUCAAAACAACAGCAGUCCAGAGCCAUUUAACUCAGCGUGCAUGCUCCUGAGACCCUCCCUGGAUUACAGUUACCCACUAGGUCUGCUGAAAACAGAUGCCACCCCCUACACCCUGCCUGUUUACUGCCUCCCCAUCCUCCUCCCUCCCCACACCCUACCCCAAGCCAUUCUGCAAAGAUCAAAUCACUAGUUUAUACACUAAGAAAACACAG